rnacentral:rRNA from 1 species
CCUACGGGAGGCAGCAGUGGGGAAUAUUGGACAAUGGGGGCAACCCUGAUCCAGCCAUGCCGCGUGUGUGAAGAAGGCCCUCGGGUUGUAAAGCACUUUCAGUGAGGAAGAACGCCUGGUGGUUAAUACCCAUCAGGAAAGACAUCACUCACAGAAGAAGCACCGGCUAACUCCGUGCCAGCAGCCGCGGUAAUACGGAGGGUUCGAGCGUUAAUCGGAAUUACUGGGCGUAAAGCGCGCGUAGGUGGCUUGAUAAGCCGGUUGUGAAAGCCCCGGGCUCAACCUGGGAACGGCAUCCGGAGCUGUCAAGCUAGAGUGCAGGAGAGGAAGGUAGAAUUCCCGGUGUAGCGGUGAAAUGCGUAGAGAUCGGGAGGAAUACCAGUGGCGAAGGCGGCCUUCUGGACUGACACUGACACUGAGGUGUGAAAGCGUGGGUAGCAAACAGGAUUGGAUACCCCGGUAGUC